rnacentral:misc_RNA from 1 species
GUGAGUCAUCGAAUCUUUGAACGCACAUUGCGCCCUUUGGUAUUCCGAAGGGCAUGCCUGUUCGAGCGUCAUUUAAACUCUCAAGCUCUGCUUGGUAUUGGAAGCGGUCGCUUGACCCUUCUGCAACACGUUGAGCGUGACCAUCCGGCUUCAAGCGUAGCAAAACCCUCGCUUAGAUGUCUGGUGGCCUCCGCCAAUGAAUAUCACUUCAAGUUUGACCUCGGAUCAGGUAGGGAUACCCGCUGAACUUAAGCAUAUCAAUAAGCGGAGGA